GCCCAGGGCCAAGGUCAGCAGAGAAACGCCAGCCCCUGGUGGCAGGAGGGCAGAGGCCAACGGACGAGUCACCAGAGGCCCUCCCCACCCCCACGCCUGGUUUGCUCCUGCUGUCGUCCUCCCAAAAGUCCUGCCCCCAGCCUACUCUCAAGGCCAUGCGGGAGCUUGUCACACUGAGCGUGUGGGUGCCCCGCUCCACCUCAGUUCCUCCAGGCGGCCCCACCUCAGCUCACUGGGGUUUCUCUGUCCCCAAGGGGCAUCACCUCCCAUCCCACAGCUCGUGUCCAACCGUCUCAGGUCAGCCUUUGCUUGGCCCAGUCCUGCUCCCUCCGUCACCCACCUCUGCCCUGAAGGCAGGCUGCCAGCCCCUGAGCACAGGGGGAGGGUCUUAGUUCCCUGGGCUCCCCCCACCACUGCGUGGCUCCAGGACUGAGCAGGCUCCCUGAGCGCUGGAGGAUUCUAAGAUGUGAUUGAUGCAGUAACACUCUCCCCGGCCAAGAGCUGGGACAUUUCCAGGGCUGCCCAGGCCUCACCUGCUCCAGGAGCUGAUGCUCUUUGCAGAUUCACCUGCACUCCCUGGGCAGCCCCUGACCUGCUGUCCAGGGCCCCCUGCACCUCACUGCUGAGCUGGAGGCUGAGAACCCAGGCCCCAGUGUGCCCCAACAGGGGGUGUCCCACUCCUUGCAGCCUGGCUGCCCAGCCUCAUCUCUGCCCUUGUCACUGGGCACCAGGACUGCCCACAGAUGGGAGAGAAGCCGGGAAGAUGGAGCUAACUGCUAGUCAACAAGCUCACCACCAGCGGGUCGUAUGGCACUGCGUGUAUUUUCCCAGAGGUACAUGUGAGGGAUGGCUGUUACCCCAACCUCACGCGGUAGCACCCAGGGGGACAAACCAAGCAAGACCUGGACAGCCUUCAGAGCAGAUGAAAAGGUGGAUCUAACUGACAUCAGUCGGACUCUUACCCCAGAAGAGAGGCUGCACCUGCUUUUCACAAAAUCACCACGUUUUAGGUUACCGGGAAAAUGUUCGUGAUAGGGUGUAGAUAGCAUUACCUAAUCUCAAGACGAUAAAGCCAGAAAUGAACUUUUAAAAAUUCCCUGCAUGUGAAACAACUCUUGGGUCCAAGAGGAAACCAAAUCUGGAAUUGCAGAAUGUUGGAAAAAUAAUCACAAAAACAGUCCAGGGAAGCCCCUGUAGAGCCCAGCCACAGCAGAGGGAAGUUCUGGCCCCAGGUACCAAGGUUACUAAGCACGGAAAAUGACAAUGAGUGAAGUGUGUGCUCAAUUCAAGAGAUUAGAAAAAGACGAUUAACAGAGGAAAUCAAAGGCAGUAAUUAAUAAGGGUAAAAAGCAGAAACUUACUAGAAACAGAAAAAUGGAGGAACUAGUAAACCCAAAAUAUGAUUCGUCAAAAAUCAAAUAGAUGAACCAAGAGCUAACUUAAUCAAGAAAGAUGGGAAAAGCUCAAAGACACAAAAUUUUAAAAAGGGACAAGGACAAAAUAAACACAGGAGAUUUAAAGAAUCAUAAGAGGCUACUUUUCUCAAUUCCACGCAAAUAAAUUUGAAGGCCUGGAUGAAAUGGAUUCGUUCCUAGGAAAAUAUUAUUUAACUAAACUGACUGGAGAGUAGACCUGAAACUUGCACAAGGUGGUGACCUCGGAGGGAAGGAGAAGGCUGGUGAGGAGCUUCCCCCAAAGCAGGUCCAGGCUCAGGUGGUGUCGGGAAAUCUACAGGCCUUCAAAGAACGGUCGAUUCCAACUGGCUUUAAACUACUUCACAGCCAAGGAAAAGGAGAAAAGCUUCCGAGUUCUUUUUUGAAGGAAGUGUCAUCUCAACCAAGUGAAAGCCGCACGCCAAAUUCAUCUAUGAGUGACCAGUUCAAAAACCCUAAGUGAAAUACCAACAACCCUAAAUCCAACGGCACGUUGAAAGAAUAACACACUGUGAGCAGUGUAGACAGGAAUGCAAGGAUGGUUCAGUGAGAAAUGUAUUCAUACAGUUUGUCAUAGGAGGCAUGCUAAGGAGGAAAUAAGUCCUAUGACCCCUGUGGGGGGCUGCAGUGGGCGGUACCGGUCACGCAUGAUGAAUCCUCUCUGACACGUCUGUCUCCCUACGCCUCGGGAUUCCUUCCUCUACAUUACACCAGGGAAGUUUCAGCAUCUCAGCUUAACUGUAGACGGCCUUCAGGCCCAGACUUCAUUCAACCAAGUGAACUGUUGGAGUCGCUCCCAGCAGUGCACGUGAGCCAACACAUUAAAUUCAGAUUCUCUGGUAGGUGCACCGGUAUCAUUAGAGCCAAGCCAAGCCAGUGCUCCAACACAGUGCCCUGCUGCGGUCCAACACCCGUACACUCCGUUCUCACGCACAAUUCCCAGGUUCCUUGGUCUGAAUUAAUGAAAUCUUGCAAUUUUCAGGUAUACGUGCCACUUCCUCCUGGGUCAGACUUUGUGCCUGACACCACCCUCCUGCAGCGUGCUGAGACUGGACCCUGCUUAUGGGUCUCGAGUCAACAGACAGUGGGGAGGUUCGUGGAGGCUGAAUAAGAUGAGCAUCCUCUUUGUAGGCCCCCCAGCCACAUGAGGUUAUCUCAGGGCUUUCUGAGGUCUUCCUCAGUCAGUGGAGGACAAACCACUCCCACUGGAAAGAGGGGCUUGGAGGACAUCAGGGUGCGAGGUUCUCAGCACCACCUGAGCCCGACUAGAUGUCCCCCUUCCUGGUGUCAGGGUCACAUUCUUUCCCAAUCAAUGCCCUAAAUUUCUCAUAAGAAAAUUAGUGAGGUUGUAAAUGCAGCUGACGCUGUAGUUGUACAACUGACAGAAUUAGACGUUACUUUUGACUUUUAGCAAUGUCAGUCCUGUGCAUGUGAGUAAUGAGGGCUCCUUUGGGGGCUGCCGUGGGGGUCUCUGCUUCUCUGGCUGUGACCUGAGCGGAGAGUUCAGAGACCUGAGCUUGUCGUUUUCUCGCGUAAGUGCUCCAGGACAUUCAGGAGACCAGCCCACCACUGUCCCUGUGGUUGUCACUCCCGUCCCAACAGCCACGUGCAGCAAGGCCCUUGACUCAGUCGGCACAUCACAACCAACCACGGCGGCAGCCCUGUCACUCAGGAAGCCACUGGUACCGUGGAGUCACGUUUCCAAGGAGCUCGGCCCCCAGCCAGGCCCAGGGACCCACCAAGCCCAUCCCCAAAUCCAAUCUUUGGGGAACCUGUGACAGGGACCACUCGUAGUACCAAUUUAUGUAUCAGUUAGGGUCCACCCUGGAGAGAAACCACUCCUGUGACUCCAUUAACAAG
ensembl:lncRNA